AUGAAAAAACUCCAUGCAGAUGGGCUUUUGGAAUCACUUGAUUAUGAAUCAUUUGAUACUUGCGAACCAUGCCUCAUUGGCAAGAUGACUAAAACUCCAUUCUCCAGAACAAUGGAGCGAGCUAAUGACUUAUUGGAAAUAAUACAUACCGAUGUAUGCGGUCCGAUGAGUGUUGAGGCUUGCAGCGGGUAUCAUUAUUUUCUGACCUUCACAGAUGAUUUGAGCAGAUAUGGGUAUAUCUACUUAAUGAAACACAAGUCUGAAACAUUUGAAAAGUUCAAAGAAUUUCAGAGUGAAAUGCAUAAUCAUCAUAACAAGAAAAUAAAAUUUCUAUGA
rnacentral:rRNA from 1 species